UACGAAGGGGGCUAGCGUUGUUCGGAAUUACUGGGCGUAAAGCGUGCGCAGGCGGCUUCUCAAGUCAGGGGUGAAAGCCCAGAGCUCAACUCUGGAAUUGCCUUUGAGACUGAGUGGCUUGAGUACGAGAGAGGUGAGUGGAAUUCCCAGUGUAGAGGUGAAAUUCGUAGAUAUUGGGAAGAACACCGGUGGCGAAGGCGGCUCACUGGCUCGUAACUGAUGCUCAUGCACGACAGCGUGGGGAUCAAACAGG
rnacentral:rRNA from 1 species